rnacentral:lncRNA from 1 species
GGAGCUCCCCCGGGGUCACAGUGACCUUGAUGCGAACGCGCGGGCUCGGAGGAACCCCCACUUUCCCGCGCGCCCCAGGGGCGUGCGGGGACGGGGAGCGCGGCGCCGGCGUGCCCACACGCGUGUGGCAAAAUAAGACCAGGCCGGGUCCGCACCAGCUUUUUCGUAUCAUUCGCGAUUCCCCGCCCCGCCCCGGUGCCGGAACCCGAGGUGCCGCUGUGCGCUCUCCCCGCCCGCUCAUCCCGAGCCCCGACGUGGCGGGCAGCGCCCCCAGACCACAGCGAGGCGGCUUCCUGGAGGGCGGAGGGGCGGGGUUCUACCCCAGCUGGGCACUUCCUUGCUGCGGACCUUGCUCUGGGCCGGCCUCUCUCCGGACCUGUGUCCUGCUCCAAGCGCACCUUGCCCAGUCUCCUCGAAACUGCAGUCCCUGCUGGGACCCGCGUGCUUCUGACUGCUGUUGGAUAGAGGUCGGCCCCCGUCUUGGAGCUGUGAAGCGCUCAGGUCCUGUGCAGGAUGCCUGA